rnacentral:rRNA from 1 species
GACGAACGCUGGCGGCGUGCUUAACACAUGCCAGUCGAACGGAAAGGCCCUGCUUUUGUGGGGUGCUCGAGUGGCGAACGGGUGAGUAACACGUGAGUAACCUGCCCUUGACUUUGGGAUAACUUCAGGAAACUGGGGCUAAUACCGGAUAGGAGCUCCUGCUGCAUGGUGGGGGUUGGAAAGUUUCGGCGGUUGGGGAUGGACUCGCGGCUUAUCAGCUUGUUGGUGGGGUAGUGGCUUACCAAGGCUUUGACGGGUAGCCGGCCUCAGAGGGUGACCGGCCACAUUGGGACUGAGAUACGGCCCAGACUCCUACGGGAGGCAGCAGUGGGGAAUAUUGCACAAUGGGCGGAAGCCUGAUGCAGCAACGCCGCGUGCGGGAUGACGGCCUUCGGGUUGUAAACCGCUUUCGCCUGUGACGAAGCGUGAGUGACGGUAAUGGGUAAAGAAGCACCGGCUAACUACGUG